GACGAACGCUGGCGGCGUGCUUAACACAUGCAAGUCGAACGGAAAGGCCCUGCUUUUGUGGUGUGCUCGAGUGGCGAACGGGUGUAUAACACGUGAGUAACCUGCCCUUGACUUUGGGAUAACUUCAGGAAACUGGGGCUAAUACCGGAUAGGAGCUCCUGCUGCAUGGUGGGGGUUGGAAAGUUUCGGCGGUUGGGGAUGGACUCGCGGCUUAUCAGCUUGUUGGUGGGGUAGUGGCUUACCAAGGCUUUGACGGGUAGCCGGCCUGAGAGGGUGACCGGCCACAUUGGGACUGAGAUACGGCCCAGACUCCUACGGGAGGCAGCAGUGGGGAAUAUUGCACAAUGGGCGGAAGCCUGAUGCAGCAACGCCGCGUGCGGGAUGACGGCCUUCGGGUUGUAAACCGCUUUCGCCUGUGACGAAGCGUGAGUGACGGUAAUGGGUAAAGAAGCACCGGCUAACUACGUG
rnacentral:rRNA from 1 species